ACCUCCUCACCUGAUCCGACGCCGUAGCACCUCUCCCUGUCCCUGUCCCCAUCUCCCUCCGUCUCCCUGGCCAAGCACUCCACCUGGAAGCACCCUGCCCCGAACUGCACCGCAGUCGUCGACGCUAAGCGCUGGCCCACGCUCUCCAAGGUUGCAAGGGUGAUCAACUUGCUAUUGGGAAGGAAACAACACGUCGUUUGGGAAUGGGUACUAAAUGUAAGGAUGAGUCACUUGCUUCAUUGCCAAUUGAUGAAUUGACCGAGAAGGCUGAUGGCUUUGCUAGAGUCUUUCCAGAUCUAUGUUGAAUCAAUUACCAUCUGUAUUGUGCUUGGUUUUAUGCUUCUUGCGCUGAUAUGGAAGUUUGACUUCCCAACAUUUACCGUCCAGAUCAUUGCCAUCCUCAAUGACGUACAAGCAGCAUAUUAGGUAAACUAACAACAUCAACCUGGCGACAUGAAUAAGUACCAUUGUGGCUAUCUCGAAGGACAUAGUAAAACCACCUGCACAACCUGACAGUUGGAAGUUAUUUGGUCGUGAUGACUGUCAUUUUUUCUUCUGGGCUACGUACAAGACUGACUUCUUCUCGGUAUGGGCCAGUGGCUGGUUUAGCAUUAUUUAAAGUUUUGAGAAAUCAUCGUAGUGUGCCCAUCCUUUUCAUGGUUGCUAAUAUACAGAAAUUGUUCCAUGUCGAAAGCCUUGAGAAAAUUUCCCAGGGUGAUUUUCAUACGCUUUCCUCUGCCAUGUACCUUCAAGUCAGCACAAUCAAUCAGGGCCCUUAACUUACACGGUCUCGCACGCUCGCAACUGGUCAUUUGUGUACCGUCCUAGGUUCUUGCUAACCUUUGCCUUCUUGGUGGCGCAGCUGCUGAGUCAUCCGACUCUAGUUCCAUACCUUACUGUUGUAUGUGGUCUUUCCGCGUCUCCUUACAUUUUAUGGUGUUUGCAGAAUGCCACUCUGAUUGUUGUAUAUGCCAACUGGGCAUUUGCUGCUAUUAAGGGCAUUGGAUGGGGCUGGGCCGGUGUCAAAUGGCUCUACAUCAUUGUCUUCUACUUCCUGCUGCGCAUCAUCAAUUUCCUCAUCCUGCUAUACGCUGAGUAGGAGGGCAUGGAACCUCGUCCUUAUGUAUAUACUAGGUGUGUGCCCGUACGUUGCAACGGGAGUAUGUUAGGAUGAGCAUCGACACAUAUUUGAUCGGAUAUUAUAUUUUUUGGGAUCUGGAGAAAGUUUGCUCGG